rnacentral:rRNA from 1 species
CAUUACCGAGUUGAUUCGAGCUCCGGCUCG